UAAGGAAUCUUCCGCAAUGGACGCAAGUCUGACGGAGCGACGCCGCGUGCGCGACGAAGCCCUUCGGGGUGUAAAGCGCUUUUCUCGGGGACGACCCAACGACGGUACCCGAGGAAGAAGCCUCGGCUAACUACGUGCCAGCAGCCGCGGUAAUACGUAGGAGGCAAGCGUUGUCCGGAAUCACUGGGCGUAAAGCGCGUGUAGGCGGUGGGGCAAGUCUGCGGUGAAAGCGCCCGGCUUAACUGGGCGAGGUCCGUGGAAACUGCUCGACUGGAGGACGGUAGAGGGGGGUGGAAUUCCCGGUGUAGUGGUGAAAUGCGUAGAGAUCGGGAGGAACACCAGUGGCGAAGGCGGCCCCCUGGGCCGCUCCUGACGCUGAGACGCGAAGGCGCGGGGAGCGAACGGGAUUAGAUACCCCCGUAGUCC
rnacentral:rRNA from 1 species